UACUCCCGCCGGCGACCGGCGCACGGGUGAGUAACACGUAUGAAACCUGCCCGUAGCAGGGGGAUAAGCGGAAGAAAUUCCGUCUAAUACCGCGUAACAACCCGAGGAGGCAUCUCCUCGGGUUUAAAGGAAGCGAUUCCGGCUACGGAUGGUCAUGCGUCGCAUUAGCUUGUUGGCGGGGUAACGGCCCACCAAGGCGACGAUGCGUAGGGGUUCUGAGAGGAAGGUCCCCCACACUGGUACUGAGACACGGACCAGACUCCUACGGAAGGCAGCAG
rnacentral:rRNA from 1 species